CCGUGGCCUGGUUCAAGUAAUCCAGGAUAGGCUGUUACCAUCCCCGGCCUAUUCUCGAUUACUUGUCCCAGGCACUG
rfam:Struthio camelus australis contig7803, whole genome shotgun sequence.